rnacentral:tRNA from 1 species
CAUUUGAUAACUCAGUUGGUAGAGUGGAGCACUUUAGGUUGAUAAUACUAGGUGUCCUUAGGUUGCUAGUUCAAUUCCAGCUCAAAGGA